GCGACAACCUGUAAACUAAGCAGUCUAUUUGCAGCUAACUAAAGGGUUUGUGCAUGCAGGACCAGCUUAAUUAAAGACAAAAUUUAAAAGGAAAAAUUAUUUGGGCUGUACAACACUGAAAAAAAAAUCUGAAUCUAUGCUGUUUUUAAAUGGAUCCCUGGUUGAAGUGUGGGUUACAGCUGUCCCAGAAAUCAGUGCCACAAUGAAUUAGGAUGAUGUUGGCUACUGUUUGGCUUGGUGUUUCUUCAACUGUGUGCCAUGUCCCUCAGCAAAACACAGCACAGAAGUGGUUUCAAGAGGUGAUGUGGAAGUCAUCUGUGACUAUAUUACCGAAGUCCAAUCCAUCCUCGGAAACCUUGACUUUCAGCACCCAGAGACGGGGAAUACGCCUCUCAUUACUGCAGCAGAGGAAAAUCUAACAGAGGUUAUUGGAUUUCUUCUGGAAAAGCGAGUAGAUAUCACCCUUUGCAAUUACAGCAAUCGAACCGCAAUUCAUGUAGCUAAUUGCAAUAUCCAAAGACAACUCUUGGCAGUCAAUAGAAUCCAGGCUCCCCAAAUGCAACUUCUACAAAGUUCAUGGCAAGGUGAUCUUGAGCAAGUUCAACAUUUACUGAAAGACAUGCUGAGUCAUUGCUUGACAUUUGUCAUGAUACAAACUGUUCUCCAACUGAUUUGAUGACAGUUACCAAAAAUCAAAACAUCAUCUUGCAAAGCAUCAGCAAAAGUGAGGAGUUCGACCAAGAUGGUGACUGCAGUCAUUCCACACUGGUUAAUGAAGAAGAAGAUCCCAGUGGUGGUAGACAGGACUGGCAACCCAGGACAGAAGGUGUUGAGAUCACUGUAACUUUUCCAAGAGAUGUCAGUCCUCCCCAAGAAAUGAGCCAAGAAGACUUAAAAGAAAAGAAUCUGAUAAACUCAUCGCAUCAAGAAUGGGCACAAGCACAUGCAGUUUCUCAUCCAAAUGAAAUAGAAACGGUGGAGCUCAGGACAAAGAAGCUGACCAUGCGGCCCUUAGUUUUGCAAAAAGAGGAAAGUUCCAGGGAGCUCUGCAAUGUGAACUUGGGCUUUUUGCUGCCAAGAUCUUGUUUAGAACUAAACAUUUCCAAGUCUGUAACCAGAGAAGAUGCUUCUCAUUUUCUGAAGGAGCAGCAAAGAAAAUCUGAAGAGUUUUCGACCUCUCGUAUGAAGUACAGUGGCCGAAGCAUCGAGGUAAGAUUAGUGCUAGCGUUUUUGACUUGAGAAUUAAAACCAAACAACUCUAUCCAUUAAUUUAGAACCAAAUCCUCAGCAAUUACACUUGACCCUUCAACAAUGCAGGGGGUAGGGUCACUGAUGUCCCCAACACAGUCAAAAAUCCACACAUAAGCUUUGAUUCCCCCAAAACUUAGCUACUAAUAGCCUACUG
rnacentral:sRNA from 1 species